GGGGAAUAUUGGACAAUGGGCGCAAGCCUGAUCCAGCCAUGCCGCGUGAGUGAUGAAGGCCUUAGGGUUGUAAAGCUCUUUCACCGGUGAAGAUAAUGACGGUAGCCGGAGAAGAAGCCCCGGCUAACUUCGUGCCAGCAGCCGCGGUAAUACGAAGGGGGCUAGCGUUGUUCGGAAUUACUGGGCGUAAAGCGCACGUAGGCGGACUGGUCAGUUAGGGGUGAAAUCCCAGGGCUUAACCCUGGAACUGCCUUUAAUACUGCCGGUCUGGAGUUCGAGAGAGGUGAGUGGAAUUCCGAGUGUAGAGGUGAAAUUCGUAGAUAUUCGGAGGAACACCAGUGGCGAAGGCGGCUCACUGGCUCGAUACUGACGCUGAGGUGCGAAAGCGUGGGGAGCGAAC
rnacentral:rRNA from 1 species